UACGAAGGGGGCUAGCGUUGUUCGGAAUUACUGGGCGUAAAGCGCGCGCAGGCGGUCUUCCAAGUCAGUGGUGAAAGCCUGGAGCUCAACUCCAGAACUGCCAUUGAAACUGUUAGACUUGAGUACGAGAGAGGUGAGUGGAAUUCCCAGUGUAGAGGUGAAAUUCGUAGAUAUUGGGAAGAACACCAGUGGCGAAGGCGGCUCAC
rnacentral:rRNA from 1 species